rnacentral:rRNA from 1 species
CCUACGGGCGGCUGCAGUGGGGAAUAUUGGACAAUGGGGGGAACCCUGAUCCAGCCAUGCCGCGUGUGUGAAGAAGGCCCUCGGGUUGUAAAGCACUUUCAGUGAGGAAGAACGCCUGGUGGUUAAUACCCAUCAGGAAAGACAUCACGCACAGAAGAAGCACCGGCUAACUCCGUGCCAGCAGCCGCGGUAAUACGGAGGGUGCGAGCGUUAAUCGGAAUUACUGGGCGUAAAGCGCGCGUAGGUGGCUUGAUAAGCCGGUUGUGAAAGCCCCGGGCUCAACCUGGGAACGGCAUCCGGAACUGUCAAGCUAGAGUGCAGGAGAGGAAGGUAGAAUUCCCGGUGUAGCGGUGAAAUGCGUAGAGAUCGGGAGGAAUACCAGUGGCGAAGGCGGCCUUCUGGACUGACACUGACACUGAGGUGCGAAAGCGUGGGUAGCAAACAGGAUUAGAUACCCGAGUAGUC